rnacentral:lncRNA from 1 species
GACGGGCCAGACCGAGUGGGCUUCUCCGCUCAUACCCACUGGAUUAAAUCCAUCUGUUGCUAAUCCUAGAUAAACAUUUCGACUUUCCUUCGCAAAAUCAGGAUAUACCUUGUUAAAAUGCUUCCAUGCUGCAGCAUCAGAAGGGUGGUGCAUUUCUCCUUCUGGCGACUAAUGUUCUGCGUGCCAUCGCAUUUGUGAUGCAGUAGACUCUUGUUGGUACAGACGCUUCAACCUCUCUGUAAUAGGCAAAUAGAACAUUCUCUGUUUUGGACGCCUCUUCCCCUUUCCAUGGUUCUUGUGAUAUCUAUCUUUCCCACAAAACCGACACGCCAACAGCCCGUGAUCUUCUUUCCAAAAUAACAUGCAAU